rnacentral:rRNA from 1 species
UUAGCCUACGGGACGCAGCAGUGAGGAAUAUUGGUCAAUGGACGAGAGUCUGAACCAGCCAAGUAGCGUGAAGGAUGACUGCCCUAUGGGUUGUAAACUUCUUUUAUAAAGGAAUAAAACGAGGCACGUGUGCCUUUUUGCAUGUACUUUAUGAAUAAGGAUCGGCUAACUCCGUGCCAGCAGCCGCGGUAAUACGGAGGAUGCGAGCGUUAUCCGGAUUUAUUGGGUUUAAAGGGUGCGUAGGCGGAUCGUUAAGUCAGUGGUCAAAUUGAGGGGCUCAACCCCUUCCCGCCAUUGAAACUGGC